UACGGAGGGUGCAAGCGUUAUCCGGAUUCACUGGGUUUAAAGGGUGCGUAGGAGGGCAGGUAAGUCAGUGGUGAAAUCUCCAAGCUUAACUUGGAAACUGCCGUUGAUACUAUCUGUCUUGAAUAUUGUGGAGGUGAGCGGAAUAUGUCAUGUAGCGGUGAAAUGCUUAGAUAUGACAUAGAACACCAAUUGCGAAGGCAGCUCACUACGGAUAUAUUGACACUGAGGCACGAAAGCGUGGGGAUCAAACAGG
rnacentral:rRNA from 1 species